AUUGAACGCUGGCGGCAGGCUUAACACAUGCAAGUCGAGCGGAGAUGAGGUGCUUGCACCUUAUCUUAGCGGCGGACGGGUGAGUAAUGCUUAGGAAUCUGCCUAUUAGUGGGGGACAACAUUCCGAAAGGAAUGCUAAUACCGCAUACGUCCUACGGGAGAAAGCAGGGGAUCUUCGGACCUUGCGCUAAUAGAUGAGCCUACGUCGGAUUAGCUAGGUGGUGGGGUAAAGGCCUACCAAGGCGACGAUCUGUAGCGGGUCUGAGAGGAUGAUCCGCCACACUGGGACUGAGACACGGCCCAGACUCCUACGGGAGGCAGCAGUGGGGAAUAUUGGACAAUGGGGGGAACCCUGAUCCAGCCAUGCCGCGUGUGUGGAGAAGGCCUUAUGGUUGUAAAGCACUUUAAGCGAGGAGGAGGCUACUGAGACUAAUACUCUUGGAUAGUGGACGUUACUCGCAGAAUAAGCACCGGCUAACUCUGUGCCAGCCGCCGCGGUAAGAC
rnacentral:rRNA from 1 species